rnacentral:rRNA from 1 species
UAGGGAAUAUUGCACAAUGGGGGAAACCCUGAUGCAGCGACGCCGCGUGAAGGAAGAAGUAUCUCGGUAUGUAAACUUCUUUUAUCAGGGACGAAACAAAUGACGGUACCUGAAGAAUAAGCCACGGCUAACUACGUGCCAGCAGCCGCGGUAAUACGUAGGUGGCGAGCGUUAUCCGGAUUUACUGGGUGUAAAGGGCGUGUAGGCGGGAGUGCAAGUCAGAUGUGAAAUCCUAUGGCUUAACCAUAGAACUGCAUUUGAAACUGUUAUUCUAGAGUAUGGGAGAGGUAGGUGGAAUUCCUAGUGUAGCGGUGAAAUGCGUAGAUAUUAGGAGGAACACCAGUGGCGAAGGCGGCUUACUGGACGGUAACUGACGUUGAGGCUCGAAAGCGUGGGGAGCAAACAGGAUUAGAUACC